rnacentral:rRNA from 1 species
GAUGAACGCUGGCGGUGUGCUUAACACAUGCAAGUCGAACGGUGAAAGCGGAGCUUGCUCUGCUGGAUCAGUGGCGAACGGGUGAGUAACACGUGAGCAAUCUGCCCCUGACUCUGGGAUAAGCGCUGGAAACGGCGUCUAAUACCGGAUACGAGCUGCGAAGGCAUCUUCAGCAGCUGGAAAGAACUUCGGUCAGGGAUGAGCUCGCGGCCGAUCAGCUAGUUGGUGAGGUAACGGCGCACCAAGGCGUCGACGGGUAGCCGGCCUGAGAGGCUGACCGGCCACACUGGGGCUGAGAAACGGCCCAGACUCCUACGGGGGGCAGCAGUGGGUAAUAUUGCACAAUGGGCGAAAGCCUGAUGCAGCAACGCCGCGUGAGGGACGACGGCCUUCGGGUUGUAAACCUCUUUUAGCAGGGAAGAAGCGAAAGUGACGGUACCUGCAGAAAAAGCGCCGGCUAACUACGUGCCAGCAGCCGCGGUAA